GUGGCUGUAGCUCAAUGGUAGAGCACUGGACUGUGACUCCAGGUGUUGCCGGUUCGAGCCCGGUCAGCCACCCCA
rnacentral:tRNA from 1 species